AAGGAGAUGAAAAGGAAAAAAAGAGAGAGACAAAA
rnacentral:sRNA from 1 species